GCGAGUUGGCGGGUGGCUUUCGAGCCUUCCAAAAGGCUUGAGGAAACUCCGCCCCACAAGUAGCCUGCAACACCCGUAAGGGUGUAAGGCGAGAGCCUUGGCUCCGGAGCAGAAACGAAACGUCCAUCCAGCAGAUGCCAAUGACGCAUGCUAAGUUGUUGAGAAGCUGGAUGGAAACGGUGAAACGGCCGUCCUGCAGGUGGAAAGGGCGAAAAGACGCUGAUGAAACGCUACUUGAAGCGUGGGUAGCCCGAUUAGCUGGAUGCCACCUAAAACAGAAGGCGGGUUACAGCCAACACGC
rnacentral:RNase_P_RNA from 1 species